rnacentral:rRNA from 1 species
UGGGGAAUUUUGGACAAUGGGGGAAACCCUGAUCCAGCCAUCCCGCGUGUGCGAUGAAGGCCUUCGGGUUGUAAAGCACUUUUGGCAGGAAAGAAACGUCAUGGGUUAAUACCCCGUGAAACUGACGGUACCUGCAGAAUAAGCACCGGCUAACUACGUGCCAGCAGCCGCGGUAAUACGUAGGGUGCAAGCGUUAAUCGGAAUUACUGGGCGUAAAGCGUGCGCAGGCGGUUCGGAAGAAAGAUGUGAAAUCCCAGAGCUCAACUUUGGAACUGCAUUUUUAACGACCGGGCUAGAGUGUGUCAGAGGGAGGUGGAAUUCCGCGUGUAGCAGUGAAAUGCGUAGAUAUGCGGAGGAACACCGAUGGCGAAGGCAGCCUCCUGGGAUAACACUGACGCUCAUGCACGAAAGCGUGGGGAGCAAACAGG